GGAGCCCCAGGCCCGCCUGGGCCCGCCCUGGAGUGGGAAAGGGUGCGGGGGGGGGGGGGGGGGGGGGGGGCUGGGAAGGGCUUAGCUGGUCCCUCAGUAACCUCCAUCACUGCUCCUGGUUCUCGGAUGCUGGUAACAGACGUGUUGUUAUAAAGAGGGAGGCAGACCUCGAGGGCCCCCCACCAGAUUACUGCCCUUGAGUCUGGCACCCCAGCCCCUUGCUGUGUGUUCUCAGGCUAUUCCCUCCCUCUCUCUGGGCCAAGGGCCAGGGUCCUUAGAUAAUACUGGGUUUGAACCCCUGCUGUGUUUGUUCCACACAGACUCGAGAAUCCUGACCUCUCAGAGCCUCUGUUUUUCUAUCUUUGACGGGGAUGAUAGUACUCUCCUCCUGGAGUUGUUGGGAGGAUUCAGUGAGACAAAGCAUGCUAAGCAUUUAGCACCAUGCUUAGAACUUAUUAAGGGCUCAGUAAAUGGGGAGAGCUAUAAUCAUUUUAAGUGGAUUGCAUUUGAUGAUGUCAAGGCUUUGCUGAGCUAAACAUUCACUGAGUGCUUAACCACAGCUUUCUGCCAGAGCAUUUUUCUGAGUGCUUUACAUAUAUUAUCUCACUUAAUACUAAAAGCAAAUCCCUAUUCCCUUUUGCAAAUAAGGAACAGAAGCAUAGAAGAGUAUGAAGAUUGGUUGAGGCAGAAUUCAAACCCAGGUGGUCAGAAUCCCCGUACUCAUCAGCUCUGUACUAAUAGUAGUGGUUGAUUGAUAGUGAUAGUCCAAUGUCCCUUCCCUGUUUAGCAAACUCCUACUCAUCCCUCAAAACCCAGCUCAGAUGUCCCUUCUCUGGAAAGCCUUUCCUGGCACCCAUCCAGAAGAUGGGCCUCCAGGGACCCCAGCAUACAUCCCUGGCACAGAGGGAGUACCUGUUGACAAUUUUUCCUUCCACAAAUGGAUAGGGCAGGAAUUUUUUUCUUAGCCCUAUCCUUUCCUCUCCACCAAAUACUCUGCUUGGGCCUUCAUUCUGGUCUCCUGUGGGGCUCUGCAGGGGUCCCAAGGCACCUGAUUCCAGUUUCCCAGGAGCUGCUGAGUUACAUUACUUCACGAGGGCUAAUGCCUCACAUCUUCCUGGUGUCUUGCCAAACCCCCAUCCUUCCCUGGUGCCCAUUAAGGGAAAGGAAUUCAUGCCCACUGAGCCUGCAGUGGGCCAGGCCUUAAGCUGAGCGCUUCACACACUUUAGCUCAUUUUAUCCCACGCACAUCCUUGUGAGACCGUAUAUCUAUAGAAACCAAUGCCAACCAGCGAGGUGACUCUCAGAAUCUAAGGGAGGGGUGAACUUCCAGACUGUGGGCAGGGCUAGUGGGCCCAGGCACAGCUGGAACCAGGGACCCAAAUCCUGCCAGGACUGCUGACUCUCUCUCUCUCCUGCCUUUCUUUCCACAGACUAACUCUGCCAUGAGGAAGGACACGUGGCCGAUGACAACUCCUGAGCUUCUCAGCCCACAGCUGUUUUCUUAGUUCUGAUUCAAAAUAAAACUGAAUAGAACAGGGAAGGCUUCUGAUUGGCCUGGCUCUAAUCAGGUGUCCACCUGUGGGCCAGUCACGUGUAGCCAAGGGACAGGAUCAUGGAAGCCAGACAGCCCUUGCUGAACCAGAGUUUGGAGGAGAAGGAGAUCCCCAGAGAGGGAGAAGGCUGUCUGGAGAAAUUGAACAAAUGACAGAAAUAUGUCCACAACAGCCUGGGACUCCUGUUGUUGUCAUUUGACGGACAAGGAGACCGAGGCUCAGGGAGGGGUGUGACUUGUCAGUCACACGGCUCGUAAACGGUGGAGCUGGAUACAGACUGGGCUUCCGCCGAAUGUGUGCGUUAAGCCGGAGAGAUCCCCUUUGCAGAGCAAAGCUGAGUCUGAGCAGCCCUUCCAGGGGAACGUCCCGCCGCAGGGGGCACGGCGUGGUCCCCACCAGGGGAUGCGAUGAGACGGUUCACAGAACACGCCAGUUUAUAGAUCAGAGAGAUGGGUGCCGAGAGCGCCACACUGGAGACAUGCGCUGUAUAGGUGAGGACUGUUGUUACCCCCAUUUACAGAGGAAACGGAGGCUGGGCGUGGGGGGCGAGGGAAAGGGAGGUGACUCGCCCAAGGACACGUGGCUAGGGAGUGUAGGAACCCCACGUGUCAGGCUCCAGAGCCUGGGCUUUCUCUCCCCUCUGUGCAGGUGCACACUUGGCUCCUCUCCAUCUCGCACCCGAGCAGGCUCUUUGGCCUCCAGCUCUGUGCACGGAGGGCUGGGACAUGGAGUUCGGGGCUCACAGAAGCUGGUGACCUGGGUGGAGGCAUGGGGGUGAUGAACACUCAGGGAGACUCUGCCUGGGGCUGCAGGGAGGUGUGAGGGUCUGCAGAGUGGGAGCCAAACCGCCGCUCCUCCUGGAAAGUCACCUUCAAAAGCCUCCUCCUCCGAGAAGCCUUCCUGCCUCCUCUGCACGUCAUCGUCCGUCCUCUGAGCUCCCGCUCCCACCCCACCUUCUCCAUCACAGUGCCUCUUCCUGACUGUAGGCUUCUCCAGCACGGGCUGAGCCUCCCGUCUCUGCUCUUGGAAUUGCCCAAAAUGCUCCUGGGUACCAAAAAGACACGAGAGCUGUUUGCUGGGAGGAUGGAGGAACGAGUGAAUGUGGUGCAGGGCCCAGAGGCGCUGGCGGCCUCGGCAGCAGGGCCCCCUGCUGGCUGCAUCCACACUCCGCCCUGCCGCAGCAGAGAGAGGCGGCAGAGAAGGGACCUGUGCAGACUCCCUGAACAGAUCGGCUGCGAUGAACGCCGCUUUUGCACACACCCCCUGGUUGAGUCCUCUAACUGCUCUGGGAGGCCUGGAGAUAGGCCAAGGGGACAAAGCAGGCAGGGGCAGAACUGGGAAAGGAUCUCAGAAUGUCGGACUUCAGAGGCCAACUCAUUGCUGUGGUGCUCCCUCCACACCUCUCAGCCAGAUAUUGUGCCCUAGCCCGGCGGGGAGAGGGUCCGAGCUUGGCUUUGAGGCUUCCCCACCUGUGGCAUUGUCCUCCGCUCAUGCCUCCACUCUGGCUCCCCUGUCCCCCGCAGCACACACAGGCCUCCCUUGGAAAGCCCCUAACUCAGAGUCACACAGACCCAGGCUCAAAUUCCAGCUCCGCUGGACUCCCUGAAGCUCACUUUCCACUCUGAAGCUCAGUUUCCCUGUCUGUAACAUGGGAACAGUGACCUCCGCUAUCUCUGUGUCUCUAGACUGAGGAUUUCCCUAAGAAUGAGGAAAUGAGGGAAACAAGCUGGGCUCACCGAGAGUUAGAUGAAGAAAUUGGGACCUAGCGAAUCAGCAGAGGUGUGCAAAGUCACCUUAAAGGGCCAGCCCGACUCUGGGUCCUGCAGAAACUGACAGGCACUAGGUGAAAGUAUUGACCCAUCUAAAGUAGUAAAGCAUCCUCAGACAAAGCCGAGCCCCUCUGGCCCUGAGAUGCUGAGCUGGUCCAGGGAGAGGCAGUUCUGGCCACGGACCCAGUGGGCAAGCUGAGCCUGUGUCGAGACAGACAAGGUGGGUGUUACUGAUGGGCUGUGAGUAGUUCCUUUCCCCAUGACAGGAUGGUGCUCUGGAGACCUGGAUGUGGUGGCCGUCUUAGCCUGGGGCCUUUAACCCAGGGUCUCAGCCUCAAAUGUCUUUGCAGGGAGGCAGAUACAAGAGUGAGCCAGGAGUGUCAGAAAAGGCAGGGGUGGGGCCUGUGUCCAGCAUGGAUUGGAGGGCGCACACUUGCCUAAAGGCGUUCGGAAUCAAUGACUUUUAAAAACGAGAUGCCAGCCUGCAUCACUUGGGUCCCAACAGGAUGGUGCGCUUUAAUUAGGAGACUCUGGGCAGACAAGCAGGGCCUAGAGGAGCACGAGAGCGUGCAGGACUCUGGGCUCGUAGCCACAUAGCUCUCACUCCUCUAGGCCUGCAGGGCGAGGGGCGGGGAGGUGACCAGCACUCUGAUGGGGAGAGUCGCCUAGAGCAGAGGUGACCUCCUAGUGGAGGAGCUGGAGGGUGAAUACCUCACCCUCACUCUCUUCCCUCCCUCUCAUCUCCUGGCUCCCGGUUUACCAAAUCCCACAGGAACCGUGACUGUGGACUUUUAAAGGAACAAGAAUAAACUUCUAUCUUAUUUAAACCACUGUUAUUUUAGGGUCUUUUGUAAGAGCAGUCUGAGCUUGGUCAAUACUCUCGUAAAAGGGAGCAUCUGCCAAGAUAUACCAGUCUUGAACUUCUAGGCUUCAUGAACUUCCAUUGUUUUAGUGAAACAGAGAGAGCAAACCUGGCAGGAUUGUAAGGAGAAAGUCACGAAUCUAUAAACAAAUGGGAAAUUUUAAGUAAAUUUUCUUAAAACCAAUGGAUGAAGUAGCAAGUCGUUACUAAGGAUACGGAAGUUUGAACCAUAUAAAUAAGGAGCUUCAUCGACCAGAUAAACAUGAACUUUACACUCCCACACACAGAAUAG
rnacentral:lncRNA from 1 species